rnacentral:rRNA from 1 species
GAUGAACGCUAGCUACAGGCUUAACACAUGCAAGUCGAGGGGCAGCAUGAACAAAGCUUGCUUUGUUUGAUGGCGACCGGCGCACGGGUGCGUAACACGUAUCCAAUCUGCCCGCGGCUCGGGGAUAGCCCAUCGAAAGAUGGAUUAAUACCCGAUGGCGUGGUUUCUCCGCAUGGAGUUUCCACUAAAGGUUUUCCGGCCGCGGAUGAGGAUGCGGAUGAUUAGGUAGUAGGCGGGGUAACGGCCCACCUAGCCUUCGAUCAUUAGGGGUUCUGAGAGGAAGGUCCCCCACACUGGAACUGAGACACGGUCCAGACUCCUACGGGAGGCAGCAGUGAGGAAUAUUGGUCAAUGGGCGAGAGCCUGAACCAGCCAAGUAGCGUGAAGGAAGACUGCCCUAUGGGUUGUAAACUUCUUUUGUUCGGGAAUAAAGUGCAGUAUAUAUACUGUUUUGUAUGUACCGUUCGAAUAAGCAUCGGCUAAUUCCGUGCCAGCCGCCGCUGUAACAC